AGAAGAGGGGGGGGGGGGGCAGUCAGCUGGUCAACACACAGGAAACUUCCUCCACAUGUUCAGCGACCUGCACGCGCCUUCAUGACGGCCAAGGUGUUGCUGUUGUUCUUCGCUAAGAGCGCCGAGCUGACUGGACUGAAGCAGGAAGAGGCUGUUGCCGUGCCAACACCAAUCAGCAGCCGGGACCUUUGGACACUGUUGCUACGGCGACACCCGAGACUCUCCGUCCUGCAGGAUCAGGUGGUGUUGGCGGUGCGUCAUCAGUACGUUGCCAUCGGCGACCAGGUGGUGACUCUGGGAGACGGGGACGAGGUUGCCGUGGUACCGCCGCUCAGCGGAGGCUAGAGUCACGCGGAUGAUUUCUUCCUCUCAGAUGGCCGAGUCGGAGGAGCGGCGAGACGUCUUCAAGCUGAGCCGUGAUUGGCUGUCCGUACAGGAAGUGGUGGACUCCGUCAGCAGUGCUUCCUGUGGAGCCAUUUCUGUUUUUAUAGGAACGACCCGAGGACGAGGUUGACAGCAGGAAGGUGAUUGGUCUGGAGUACGAGGCGUACGAGCCCAUGGCCCAAUCAGAGUUCAGGAAGCUGUGUGAUGACAUCAGAGGGCGCUGGCCAACCGUGACGCACGUCUGUGUUCACCACCGGCUCGGGUGGGUAAGGUGGGAGAGGCCAGUGUUGUCAUGGCUCUCGUCUCCUCACCGGCAGUACGGUCAGCAGGCGAUCCAGCACUGCAUCACCCGCUGAAGGUCCAGGUCCCCAUCUGAAGAAGGAAGUGUACGACACCGAGGAGUCGAGCUGGAAGGAGAACGCUGAGUGUUGGUGGGCCGCGCACAACAAACUUCCUCCUGACACACAACUCUAGACACACAACUCUAGACACACAACUCUAGACACACAACUCUAGAAACACAACACAGACACACACUACAGACGCACAAGUCUAGACACACAACACAGACACACAACACAGACACACAACACAGACGCACAACUCUAGACACACAACACAGACACACAACUCUA